rnacentral:snRNA from 1 species
GGGGGUCCCAGUUCCGAACCC